rnacentral:rRNA from 1 species
GAUGAACGCUAGCGGCAGGCUUAAUACAUGCAAGUCGUGGGGCAGCAUGUCCCGUAGCAAUACGGGAUGAUGGCGACCGGCAAACGGGUGCGGAACACGUACACAACCUUCCUUUAAGUGGGGAAUAGCCCAGAGAAAUUUGGAUUAAUACCCCUUAACAUAGUGAAAAGGCAUCUUUUUACUCUUAUAGAAGUAAUUCGCUUGAUGAUGGGUGUGCGGCUGAUUAGGUAGUUGGCGGGGUAACGGCCCACCAAGCCUGCGAUCAGUAACUGGUGUGAGAGCACGACCAGUCACACGGGCACUGAGACACGGGCCCGACUCCUACGGGAGGCAGCAGUAAGGAAUAUUGGUCAAUGGACGCAAGUCUGAACCAGCCAUGCCGCGUGGAGGAUGAAGGUCCUCUGGAUUGUAAACUUCUUUUAUAUGGGACGAAAAAAGGUCUUUCUAGAUCAACCGACGGUACCAUAUGAAUAAGCACCGGCUAACUCCGUGCCAGCAGCCGCGGUAACAC